rnacentral:rRNA from 1 species
GAUGAACGCUGGCGGCGUGCCUAAUACAUGCAAGUCGAGCGAACAGACGAGGAGCUUGCUCCUCUGACGUUAGCGGCGGACGGGUGAGUAACACGUGGAUAACCUACCUAUAAGACUGGGAUAACUUCGGGAAACCGGAGCUAAUACCGGAUAAUAUAUUGAACCGCAUGGUUCAAUAGUGAAAGACGGUUUUGCUGUCACUUAUAGAUGGAUCCGCGCCGCAUUAGCUAGUUGGUAAGGUAACGGCUUACCAAGGCAACGAUGCGUAGCCGACCUGAGAGGGUGAUCGGCCACACUGGAACUGGGCCACGGUCCAGACUCCUACGGGAGGCAGCAGUAGGGAAUCUUCCGCAAUGGGCGAAAGCCUGACGGAGCAACGCCGCGUGAGUGAUGAAGGUCUUCGGAUCGUAAAACUCUGUUAUUAGGGAAGAACAAAUGUGUAAGUAACUAUGCACGUCUUGACGGUACCUAAUCAGAAAGCCACGGCUAACUACGUG